UUAAAUUGAAGAGUUUGAUCAUGGCUCAGAUUGAACGCUGGCGGCAGGCCUAACACAUGCAAGUCGAACGGUAACAGGAAGCAGCUUGCUGCUUUGCUGACGAGUGGCGGACGGGUGAGUAAUGUCUGGGAAACUGCCUGAUGGAGGGGGAUAACUACUGGAAACGGUGGCUAAUACCGCAUAACGUCGCAAGACCAAAGAGGGGGACCUUCGGGCCUCUUGCCAUCAGAUGUGCCCAGAUGGGAUUAGCUAGUUGGUGAGGUAACGGCUCACCAAGGCGACGAUCCCUAGCUGGUCUGAGAGGAUGACCAGCCACACUGGAACUGAGACACGGUCCAGACUCCUACGGGAGGCAGCAGUGGGGAAUAUUGCACAAUGGGCGCAAGCCUGAUGCAGCCAUGCCGCGUGUAUGAAGAAGGCCUUCGGGUUGUAAAGUACUUUCAGCGGGGAGGAAGGUGUUGCGGUUAAUAACCGCAGCAAUUGACGUUACCCGCAGAAGAAGCACCGGCUAACUCCGUGCCAGCAGCCGCGGUAAUACGGAGGGUGCAAGCGUUAAUCGGAAUUACUGGGCGUAAAGCGCACGCAGGCGGUCUGUCAAGUCGGAUGUGAAAUCCCCGGGCUCAACCUGGGAACUGCAUUCGAAACUGGCAGGCUUGAGUCUUGUAGAGGGGGGUAGAAUUCCAGGUGUAGCGGUGAAAUGCGUAGAGAUCUGGAGGAAUACCGGUGGCGAAGGCGGCCCCCUGGACAAAGACUGACGCUCAGGUGCGAAAGCGUGGGGAGCAAACAGGAUUAGAUACCCUGGUAGUCCACGCCGUAAACGAUGUCUACUUGGAGGUUGUGCCCUUGAGGCGUGGCUUCCGGAGCUAACGCGUUAAGUAGACCGCCUGGGGAGUACGGCCGCAAGGUUAAAACUCAAAUGAAUUGACGGGGGCCCGCACAAGCGGUGGAGCAUGUGGUUUAAUUCGAUGCAACGCGAAGAACCUUACCUGGUCUUGACAUCCACAGAAGAAUCCAGAGAUGGAUUUGUGCCUUCGGGAACUGUGAGACAGGUGCUGCAUGGCUGUCGUCAGCUCGUGUUGUGAAAUGUUGGGUUAAGUCCCGCAACGAGCGCAACCCUUAUCCUUUGUUGCCAGCGGUUAGGCCGGGAACUCAAAGGAGACUGCCAGUGAUAAACUGGAGGAAGGUGGGGAUGACGUCAAGUCAUCAUGGCCCUUACGACCAGGGCUACACACGUGCUACAAUGGCGCAUACAAAGAGAAGCGACCUCGCGAGAGCAAGCGGACCUCAUAAAGUGCGUCGUAGUCCGGAUUGGAGUCUGCAACUCGACUCCAUGAAGUCGGAAUCGCUAGUAAUCGUGGAUCAGAAUGCCACGGUGAAUACGUUCCCGGGCCUUGUACACACCGCCCGUCACACCAUGGGAGUGGGUUGCAAAAGAAGUAGGUAGCUUAACCUUCGGGAGGGCGCUUACCACUUUGUGAUUCAUGACUGGGGUGAAGUCGUAACAAGGUAACCGUAGGGGAACCUGCGGUUGGAUCACCUCCUUACCUUAAAGAAGC
rnacentral:rRNA from 1 species